CCCUGCCGUCAAAAGCUAUCUUGUAUGCUUCAGUGGAAGAUACAAGGCCAACAAAAAAAGGACUCAGGAUGCCAACACUGACCCACUCAGAGGGAGAAAAGAGACAUUCAGAAUUGGUCAUGGCUUUCCGGGAAGAUCAUCUGGAGACACCCCCUGGACCAAUGGCAUUUUCUCUCCCAAGUCUUAUGCCUCCCGAUGGCCUCAAGAGAUGAAGCUGAAUAGAGACAUUUCCCAAACCCAAGUCUGACCAGGAAGGCAAUGAGCCAGAACAGAAAAUAUCGAUGAGAACCUAGAUGUUCUAUCAAACCAAACCCUUGCCAGGAAGAGGAACACAUUAGCACUUGAGAUGAGGACACUGAGGCCCAGAGAUCUCCGCCCAAUUUUUCCAGACCGGUCUGUCACUCACCAAAGCAGUGUGCCUUCAGGACACCAUUGCCGGGCUCCCCCAGUGCAAGGCCUCAGCUGGGAUGCAGGGUCAGAGAACUGGCUCUGCAUACUUUGUGGAAAGUUGGGAAAGUCUAAAUAUUUCUCUAAGCCUUGAUUUCCCCAUCUGACAGGAAGGAAAACAUAAUCUGUCUCCUAUGUUUAUGCACUGGUUGAAUGAAGUCCCAGCCAUGAAUUUGUUUGGUGAAUUGCAAAGCACUAUGCGAUGCUGUAUUUUCUUCACCACAACUCAUGCUCUGACAUAGGAACAGUAUUGGUUCUUUCUGGAAUGCUACUCUUUAUAGAGCUUCUUAGAUUGUACUUUUCAAGGGUUGAGGUCAGACCUAACCAUUCUGCUGCAGAUUUCACGAAGCAUAGCGUUUUUAUAAUAUUAGAAAGAUGGCUCAAAAAGGUUUUCUUUGUUCAGACUUUUCUUGAACAUUUACUAUGUGCUGGACACUGCACUCUUUGCCGGAAUAUCUCAUUUAAUCUUUACAGUGCAUUUCCAAGUGAAGGCAGCACAAUUAGUAUAAUUUUAUAAAAGUGGAAUACUGGAGUCUAAGAUGUUAAUAACUUGUCCAAGGUCCCAACACUGGAUGUCACUGGAGUGGGAAUUCGAAUCCAGGAUGCUUAUCCUUUAAGCACCCCAUCAUACUGUUAGUAGUGACGACAUCACGGAACUUGUCACACAGGAGGACUGAAAGACAGGGACUCUCAGGGGCCAGAAAACAUGAGAGUGAAAGAGAGAUUCCGAAAAACAUCGAGAUUUGUGAAAAUGCUAUUAUGUGUUAGAUAGAAUGCAGGGUACUUUCCAUAAGUCAACUUGGUUAUUUCUCAGAGGAAUUCCAGGAAAUAGGAUUUUACACAUGUGGGAAACAGGCUGAGAGAGGUUAUUUAAUUUGCCAAAGGUCACACAGCUGGUAUUAGAGACAGAAUAUUAAAGUAGGCGUUUCUUACCCCAAAAUCCACUCUCUGCACCAAGAGGCCACUCAGAAAAUAUAAAAAUAAGCAAAUCAAAUAAAUUGACUACGUAAGUUUGAAGGCUUCAAGAAAAUAUAAAUACUUCCACCCAGAAAUUCUAUGUCCUGGUUUCAUUCCUAGAAAACCACUUGUAGAGGUACACAGAGGACUCCCCAACGAUCCUUAACACAGCCAUAUGACUGAUAGCCCUCAUCCCACCCCCCCAAAAAAAGUCUAGUGAGAAGAAAAUGCUUAAAAAUAUUCUGAUGCAUGCAUAUCAUGGAGUUCUUUCCAGCAGUCAAAGAGAAUGAAGGCAAAAAAUGGAAAGCUCUCCAAAACAUAUCGUUCACUGAAAACCAAACUGUGACAUACUGCAUAGAGUUUGAUAGCAUUCCACAGAAUAAAAUUUU
rnacentral:lncRNA from 1 species